rnacentral:rRNA from 1 species
UACAGAGGUCUCAAGCGUUGUUCGGAUUCAUUGGGCGUAAAGGGUGCGUAGGCGGCGCGGUAAGUCGGGUGUGAAAUCUCGGAGCUUAACUCCGAAACUGCAUUCGAUACUGCAUUGCUUGAGUACCGGAGAGGGUGGCGGAAUUCCCGAAGUAGAGGUGAAAUUCGUAGAUAUCGGGAGGAACACCGGUGGCGAAGGCGGCCACCUGGACGGAUACUGACGCUGAGACGCGAAAGCGUGGGUAGCAAACAGG